CGCCUGUUUAUCAAAAACAUCGCCUCUUGUAAAAAUAAAAUAAGAGGUACCGCCUGCCCUGUGACUAAUAGUUUAACGGCCGCGGUAUUUUGACCGUGCAAAGGUAGCGCAAUCACUUGCCUUUUAAAUGAAGGCCCGUAUGAAUGGCAUAACGAGGGCUUAACUGUCUCCUCCUCCUAGUCAAUGAAAUUGAUCUCUCCGUGCAGAAGCGGGGAUAAAAACAUAAGACGAGAAGACCCUGUGGAGCUUUAGACCACAAACAGACCAUGUCAAAGAUAACGAUAAGUAACUCAAACAAAUUGGCUGCUGUUUUCAUGUCUUUGGUUGGGGCGACCGCGGGAUAAUAAAAAACUCCCAUGAGGGUAGAAAACACUAUUCUUACAACCAAGAGCUUCCUCUCUAAGUAACAGAACAUCUGACCUUUAUGAUCCGGCCUAGCCGAUCAACGGACCAAGUUACCCCAGGGAUAACAGCGCAAUCCUCUUUUAGAGUCCAUAUCGACAAGAGGGUUUACGACCUCGAUGUUGGAUCAGGACAUCCUAAUGGUGCAGCCGCUAUUAAGGGUUUGUUUGUUCAACAAUUAAAGUCCUACGUGAUCUGAGUUCAGACCGG
rnacentral:rRNA from 1 species